rnacentral:rRNA from 1 species
GAUGAACGCUGGCGGCGUGCCUAAUACAUGCAAGUCGAGCGAACAGAUGAGGAGCUUGCUCCUCUGACGUUAGCGGCGGACGGGUGAGUAACACGUGGAUAACCUACCUAUAAGACUCGGAUAACUUCGGGAAACCGGAGCUAAUACCGGAUAAUAUAUUGAACCGCAUGGUUCAAUAGUGAAAGACGGUUUUGCUGUCACUUAUAGAUGGAUCCGCGCCGCAUUAGCUAGUUGGUAAGGUAACGGCUUACCAAGGCAACGAUGCGUAGCCGACCUGAGAGGGUGAUCGGCCACACUGGAACUGAGACACGGUCCAGACUCCUACGGGAGGCAGCAGUAGGGAAUCUUCCGCAAUGGGCGAAAGCCUGACGGAGCAACGCCGCGUGAGUGAUGAAGGUCUUCGGAUCGUAAAACUCUGUUAUUAGGGAAGAACAAAUGUGUAAGUAACUAUGCACGUCUUGACGGUACCUAAUCAGAAAGCCACGGCUAACUACGUG